GGGGGGGGGGGCUAGGAUGAAAAAUUUUGUCCUGCUUUUUUUUUUUAGUUGUAAUCUCUGUCCUGCCUUUUUAUUUUUUUUUCUAUUCGGUCCUGCCUUUUUAUUUUUUACUCUAUUCGGUCCUGCCUUUUUUUUACUAGUUUAUCCUGACUUUUUUUACACAAAUUGUCAUCCUGCCUUUUUUUUUUUAACAAGUUUCUCAUCCUGCCUUUUUUUUUUACUCAAAACUCCUGUCCUGCCUAUUUUUUUCAAAUUUCAUCCUAGCCCCCCCCCCCC
rnacentral:lncRNA from 1 species